rnacentral:rRNA from 1 species
UGCGUAGGUGGUUGGUUAAGUUUGAGGUGAAAGCUCCGAGCUCAACUCGGAAAAUGCCUUGAAGACUAUCUGACUAGAGGAUUGGAGGGGGAGAGUUGGAAUUCUCGGUGUAGCAGUGAAAUGCGUAGAUAUCGAGAGGAACACCAGUGGCGAAGGCGAAUCUCUGGACAAUUCCUGACACUGAGGCACGAAAGCCAAGGGAGCAAACG